UUUUAUGAGAGUUUGAUCCUGGCUCAGGACGAACGCUGGCGGCGUGCCUAAUACAUGCAAGUCGAACGCUUCUUUUUCCACCGGAGCUUGCUCCACCGGAAAAAGAGGAGUGGCGAACGGGUGAGUAACACGUGGGUAACCUGCCCAUCAGAAGGGGAUAACACUUGGAAACAGGUGCUAAUACCGUAUAACAAUCGAAACCGCAUGGUUUUGAUUUGAAAGGCGCUUUCAGGUGUCGCUGAUGGAUGGACCCGCGGUGCAUUAGCUAGUUGGUGAGGUAACGGCUCACCAAGGCCACGAUGCAUAGCCGACCUGAGAGGGUGA
rnacentral:rRNA from 1 species